rnacentral:lncRNA from 1 species
GAUAAAAAUUCAUAUAAUUUGAAAGAUCUUUUUUUUAUGCGGCACCUUCACAACGAAGAAAAGUAGCUACUAAUUACUGGCUAGCAUUUGAAGAUAAUGUAAGUGGAAGUUGGUCUUUUGGUUUUUGCACCGACAUGAUUGCAUUAUAAAACCCCACUACUUUAUUCAGCAGUUCGCCACACCAAAUCAAAAAGAAGAGAGUAGCUAGUUAUAUCGAAGCAUUACAAGUCUCUGUGUAACUACAUCAAAUUAACAAGAUCAAGAAGAUGCACGGUCCGGGAGGAGGCGGCGGCGGUCCGGGAGGACCAGGCGGCGGUCAUGGAGGGCCAGGCGGCGGCGGUCAUGGAGGGCCAGGCGGCGGCGGUCAUGGAGGGCCAGGCGGCGGAGGCCCGGGAGGACAAGGCGGCGGCUUUGGAGGACCAGGAGGCGGCUUUGGAGGACCGGGAGGCGGAGGCGGCUUUGGAGGACCAGGCGGCGGCUUUGGAGGACCAGGCGGCGGCUUCGGAGGACCAGGCGGCGGCUUUGGAGGACCAGGCGGCGGUUUGGGAGGGCCAGGCGGCGGUUUGGGAGGACCAGGCGGCGGUUUUGGAGGGCCAGGCGGCGGUUUUGGCGGUCCCGGCGGCGGUUUUGGAGGGCCAGGCGGCGGUCCGGGAGGACCAGGGCAUCAAGGCGGACACGGGGGUGGAGGUGGAGGUGGACCAGGUGGAGGUGGAGGUGGAGGUGGACCAGGUGGAGGUGGACCAGGUGGUCGCUGACUCGUUGCUAAGUGCUAACUAAUGGUCUCGGCCAAGAACUUCUGGUGUACAAGAAGUAGUUUAUAUAUAUAUAUACAUAUAUAUGCUGUUCAUGUUUUAUAAUUAAUUAGUUUACUAAUCAUGUUUAAGAAUUAAGAUCACCACCAGACCAGCUCAUCUGGAGAGGAUCUGGGGAGGAUCAUGUGUCUGUCACUAUGUUGAAUAUGCUGCAUAUUAUGAUAUUUCCAUUUAUAGUAUAUGCAUGAUUGCUCUUUUCUCUAGUGCUUUAUUUAGAAACCUUUUAUCAUUCUUGAUAAUUAAUCUAUUUCCAAUGAUCUCUAAUUAUUAUAUAUAUCGGUAAGAAUUUAAAGAUGGUAAGAUGGGAUAUCAAAGAAAUAGUAGCAAACGUGGUUGUGUGAUGUUGCUGGAGUUUAAAAUGUUUUGGAAAUAUAUACAUUACCAGAACAGAGGUUAUAAAAAGUAGAUUUUUUAUAGUCUUCAAGGGAAGGACUUUCAUUUUUUAUUAAAAAAAAAAAGGAUUGGUUUUGGGGCUAACAUCACAUUGAACUUCAACGAUCCGAAUCAUCUAUUUUUCAAGUUGCAUCUUAUAGAUUAUCCUUGCAAAAUAUUAUCAAUUUGAAAAUAUUUGAGGCAUUUAAUUGAGUUCAAAGAAAUUGACGAACACUAUGUUUAAAAGAACAUUGAAAUUUCACGUGACGCUAAAUUGACAAAUAGUUUUGGAUGAAAUAGAAUUUUUGCAUAAAUGAUCUGAGAAUUUAGAUUUACAAAAUAAACGGCUCAGAUCGUUGCUGUUUGAUAUUGAAUAGAUCCCACAACAAAUCCCUAUUUCUUACCAAAAAAAAAA